UGGUCACUCGGGACUCACAGUCAGGAA
rnacentral:piRNA from 1 species